CCUACGGGAGGCAGCAGUGGGGAAUAUUGCACAAUGGGGGAAACCCUGAUGCAGCGACGCCGCGUGAGUGAAGAAGUAAUUCGUUAUGUAAAGCUCUAUCAGCAGGGAAGAAAAUGACGGUACCUGAGUAAGAAGCCCCGGCUAACUACGUGCCAGCAGCCGCGGUAAUACGGAGGGGGCAAGCGUUAGCCGGAUUUACUGGGUGGAAAGGGAGCGUAGGCGGCAGUGCAAGUCUGGAGUGAAAGGCGGGGGCUCAACCCCCGGACUGCUCUGGAAACUGUACGGCUGGAGUGCAGGAGAGGUAAGUGGAAUUCCUAGUGUAGCGGUGAAAUGCGUAGAUAUUAGGAGGAACACCAGUGGCGAAGGCGGCUUACUGGACUGUAACUGACGUUGAGGCUCGAAAGCGUGGGGAGCAAACAGGAUUAGAUACCCGGGUAGUC
rnacentral:rRNA from 1 species